rnacentral:rRNA from 1 species
AUUGAACGCUGGCGGCAGGCCUAACACAUGCAAGUCGAGCGGAUGAAGGGAGCUUGCUCCUGGAUUCAGCGGCGGACGGGUGAGUAAUGCCUAGGAAUCUGCCUGGUAGUGGGGGAUAACGUCCGGAAACGGGCGCUAAUACCGCAUACGUCCUGAGGGAGAAAGUGGGGGAUCUUCGGACCUCACGCUAUCAGAUGAGCCUAGGUCGGAUUAGCUAGUUGGUGGGGUAAAGGCCUACCAAGGCGACGAUCCGUAACUGGUCUGAGAGGAUGAUCAGUCACACUGGAACUGAGACACGGUCCAGACUCCUACGGGAGGCUGCAGUGGGGAAUAUUGGACAAUGGGCGAAAGCCUGAUCCAGCCAUGCCGCGUGUGUGAAGAAGGUCUUCGGAUUGUAAAGCACUUUAAGUUGGGAGGAAGGGCAGUAAGUUAAUACCUUGCUGUUUUGACGUUACCAACAGAAUAAGCACCGGCUAACUUC